rnacentral:lncRNA from 1 species
UCAAGUUAAAUUACAAAUAAAAGAAACACUAAUUAAAAUAUUAGAAAAGGAACCAAAUAAGCAAAAAAAUCAGAUAAUAUAAAUAAUUUAAGGAAUAUUACAACAAGAUAAGAAAAUUUGAAAUAUCAACAAAUAAAAAUAGAAGAAUUAUUGAAAGACUAUGAAACCUAUUUAGUAUGUAUUAGAGAAGGAGGGUGCGUGUGUAGCCAUUUUUGGUAACUGAGUGCCUCAAUCAGACAAGGCUGCAAAGCCCUUUACUAAACAUGUUUGAGAAAGUGUUUAGUGAUACCCAUUACUGUAGGUGGAAUGGGGAUUUGAGUGUUAAGUGAUUAGUAUUUUCUAUCCAUGUUGUAAAAGGAAUCCUUAAUGCCCUUAAUGAUAGCGGUAAAAACAACAUCAUCAUAUGAAACUCUUUAAGAAAUAAAAAUAAAUGUCAGCAGAAAUGUUAGGGGUCUAUUGUGGAUGAGGAAGUCGAUCUCAUUAUGAGUAUUCAGAUAAGCCUGAGAAGCAGAGCUGAAAAAUGUAUUUGGUAUCACUCGAAGGAUGGCAAAUACAUCGUAAAAUUAGCAUACCAGCAUUUGAUGGGUAUCCAUACAAAUCAUGCAUAAUGAUCAAUUUACAUGUGGAAGUAUUUGUGGCAGUCAUAAGUCCCCCAUAAAGUUAAGAAUUUCGCAUGGAGAUUGCUGAAUAAUAUCCCCUUGUUAAAAUCUAAACUGCAGGAGAAAAGGAUUGGAAUUGUGAAUGUGUGCCCUAGAUGUGAUAAGGAGGAAACCACAGGCAUGUCUUCUUUGAUUGUGAAAAAAGCCAAGGCUUGUUGGCGAAAACUGGGUAUACACCUCCAAGAAAAACAAACCAACAACAUAUUCAGAUGGAUGGAACAUCAAGCUAAAACAAUGGCAAAGCGGGAGUUAACGAAGAUACUUUGCUGCUUAUGGCGCCUCUAACUUGAGCAGAAUGAAUUUCUGUGAACUUGAAGCAUGUUUGGUGAUAAGACCUCCAUCUUUCUAAUGAGGAAGUUUUUGCAUGAACGGAGAUAGGCACAUUAAGUUAGAGAUAGAGGUAAGGUACAACUCUCACAUACCAAGUCAUGGUCCCUGCUGUGGCAAGCUCCAUCGCCUAGGGUAUGGAAAUGCAAUGUGAAUGGUACAAUUUUUGACGUAGGUUAUCAGACAGGAUAGGGAGCAGUCGUUUGAGACUCGACAGAAAUAGUAUUGACAUUUUUCUCUGACAGGUUAUGAGGGUGUCGAUCUCCCUAUCUAACUGAACUACUUGGCUACCUCAAUUCACUAUAAUAUAUAAUCUCCAAUAUCACUGGGUCGGGCAUUAUCGAAGCUGACACACAAAUGGUAAAAAAUGCUUUGACGACUAAUGGGGAAGAUUGUUCUGAGUUUGGAUUCAUUAUUGAAGAUUGUAGGACUUUGCUGGCACUUUAAGCUAAUGUAUCCAUAAGUUUUGAAGACAAUGGCAAAGCUUGAGUUUCUUAAUUAGUCUCUUACUUCUUCCUCUCAUAUUUCAACAAAUUAUUAUAUUCAGCUAGCCUAUCUUUUCAUUUCUUCAAACAAAAAUAAAUCAAGCCUAAUUGAUGAUUUUGUCAUUUGUAGGUUGAUUUGUACAUCCAAAUUCUUCUUCAAUUAAAUUAAUAUGACAACAAAAUUUUUUUUUCCUCAUUUAAAUUAAUUAAUUAAUUCAAGUAAGGAAAUCUGAAAAAAAAUUAUUGGAUAAUUAGUAAUACUAUUAAAAUAAACUAGUACCUAUAAAUACCUAUGUACUUGAAGGCUUUUAGUAUCAACCACAAAUCAAAGCUUGAGUUUCUCAAUUAGUCUUUUUUACUUCUUCCUCUCAUAUUUCAACAAAUUAUUAUAUUCAGUUAGCGUAUCACUUCAUUUUUUCUAACAAAAAUAAAUCAAGCCUAAUUUAUGAUUUUGCCAUUUGUAGGUUGAUUUCUACAUUCAAAUUCUUCUUUAAUUGAAUUAAUAUGACAAUAAAAUUUUUUUUUCCUCAUUUGAAUUAAUUAAUUAAUUCAAAUAAGGAAAUCUUAAAAAAAUGCUAGAUAAUUAAUAAUACUAUUAAAAUAAACUAGUACCUAUAAAUCCCAUGUACUUGAAAGCUUUUAGCAUUAACCACAAAUCAAAGCUUGAGUUUCUCAAUUAGUCUCUCUUACUUCUUUUUCUCAUAUUUGAACAAAUUAUUAUAUUCACAUAACCUAUCUCUUCAUUUUUUUCUAACAAAAAAAAAUCAAGCCUAAUUGAUAAUUUUACCAUUUGUAGGUUGAUUUGUACAUUUAUAUUCUUCUUUAAUUGAAUUAAUAUGACAAUAAAAUUUUUUUUCUCAUUUAAAUUAAUUAAUUUAUUAAAGUAAGAAAAUAUGAAAAAAAAAUGUUGGAUAAUUAAUAAUACUAUUAAAAUAAACUAGUACCUUUAAAUACCUAUGUAUUUAAAAGCUUUUAGCAUCAAUCACAAAUCAAAGCUUGAGUUUCUCAAUUAGUCUUUCUUACUUCUUCCUCCCAUAUUUCAAUAAAUUAUUAUAUUCAGGUAACCUAUCUCUUCAUUUUCUCCAACAAAAAUAAAUCAAGCCUAAUUGAUCAUUUUGUUAUUUGUAGGUUAAUUUGUACAUUCAAGUGCUUCUUCAAUUGAAUUAAUAUGAUAACAAAGUUUUCUUUUCCUCACUUUAAAUUAACUAAGUAAUUCAAGUAAGA